UUGGUUACGGGUCUCCGUCAUUUGGCCAUUCACACUAGAAUAUGCAUGCUAGUAGGGUUUUUGAAAUUAAUAAAAGGUGUAAAACAACCUUGGAUAUUUUUCUAAGAUAUUUUUGGAUCAAGAUAAGAUCAAACAGUACAAAUCAAUUUUUUCAAUAAAAACAAAUAAAACUAAAAUUGAUUAAUAAUUUGUCUCUAUUUAUUUUUUUAUGAUUGUUUUGAUAAAAAAAACAAAACAAAAUAAUAAAAAAUAGAGCGCAAAAAUGCUCGAAAAAAAAUAAAUUGAAUUGAUCAAAUUGAUCAGCACAAAAUAAACCUCUUAGAAACAUACAGGUUUCGAUCAAAUUUUGAAAUAAAAGCUAACUGGUUAAAAGGCUCAGAUUGUUCUAAUUUCGAAUGAAAAAGUAGCUGAAAAAAUAAAAAUGAGCAUACAGGGUUAAACUACCCGAACCGUAGAUCAAGAAAAUUGACGUCUGUAAGCUCGACUUUGGAAUUUUUCACACGUUAAUUUCACGUGCAUUUGAGAAUCAGUUCGACCGAUUCGUAUAUAGAUCCAAAAUUUUAUUUUGGAUAAUAUUUUAGGCAUUGCGCAGGAUGAGAUGCAUGUUAUGUUAGGUAGAUGAUGUGAAUGUAUUAAUGCAUGCAUCUAUUUAUUGAAUGAGGGGGGAAAUUGGGGUAUGACAGUUGCCCCUAUUUAGGUAUCUUCAACUAGAGAAUAUGAAGAAUGUUAAUCUUCAUAUGAUCGUGGUGGGAGAUAGUUAAAUACUAAAGAGAUCCGAACUUUGUCCCUGGAUGCUGAUGAAAUGAAAUGUUAUGAAUGCAUGAAGGACUCUUUUUUGGUUUUAAUUUGCUGGGGAUAUGGUAUGAAAUGAACCCGAGCAUGGUUUUUAUGAUGGAUGAUAAGUAGAGUGGACAUGUGGGGAAUUAUGGAAAAAUGUGUAACGGUGAUCCAUAAGAAACGAUAAAGACAACGAGGGGCAAGGCUCACUAGGGAUAACAAAUUGUAAGGGAAAAGAAAUGAUAGAAUGCCAGACGGUGUUGGACUUUUAGAAUGAAAUGCAAGACGAGACUAGAGUUGACCAGAAGGAAUCAUUAAAAUAUAUACCGACUUCAAACAGAGUUUGCUAGACAAAAUUGGACUUUGAGGUAAGGGGGUAUAAGAUCAACCAAAGAGGGCGGGGUCAAUGCAAAAUGAGCUUGAAUUACACUUCGACUAUGCAUGAUUUGAAUUUACUUUUAUGCAUGAUAUAUGAAUGAUCAUGGUAUGAAAAUGAAAACAUUCAUGAAAUUAGACUUGGCUAGAUGCCUUUAUUGGUGAAUGGAAAUGCAAGGUGAAGUCAUUAGGGAGAUAAGUGAUCAAUUACUAUGACUGAUUGCAUGUUCUUCAAGAAUAAUAUUCUAAAGAAGUUCCACUUGGGAAGACUACUACCGAGGUUUCUUUGGAAAGAUUCAAAAUGAAAUUACUAGGGAGUCUACUACCGAGACUCACUAGAGAUACUUAGUGCCAAGGUUUUAUUGAGAAAAUACCUACUGCUGAGGUAUAAUGGAAUAUCUUCUGCCAAGAUCAACCAGGAAAUCUACUGUCGAGAUUCACUUUAAGAGAGAUAUACCUACUAUCAAGGUCUAUUGGGAAAUCAUAUACCGAGAUCAAUCAGGGAAUCUACUAUCGAGAUUCUGUGGGGAACACCUUCUGCCGAGGUCUAUUGGGAAAUCUUUUGCCAAUAUUACAUGAAACAGAGAAAAUUAUGAUACGAUUCAAAAUAUUUUGCAAACACUCCAUUCAACUUAAAAUCACUUUUAAUAGGAAACUCUACAGUGUUUUACAUGGUGGGCAUCAAAUUCGAGAGUCUUUAUGUUAAAAAUUAUAUUGUUAUUUUACCGGACUGAUCCUAAUUAUUCCUGCAUAUGAAAUUUUUGUGAUCUAACAAAUUAUUGUCCCUUUCCUAUCAUGAAAGUUUAAAAAAGGUUUAUUACACUUUUAUCUAAAUUUUUGUGAUCUAACAAAUUAUUGUCCCUUUCCUAUCAUGAAAGUUUAAAAAAGGUUUAUUACACUUUUAUCCUGAAUUUUAAUUUUGGAGUUGCUUUUGAUCUUUUAACUUUAAAAAAAAAGAAUUAUAUUGACCCCUUAUCACUUCAAAAAUAUAUCUUAUUAAUAUAUUUUUAUCUAAUUAGAGACAAGUUUAGCUACCAUUUCUAAAAAAUUUGGAUCAAUUUUCAUGUGGUCUAACAAAUUAUUGUCUCUUUCCUAUCAUGAAAGCUUAAAAAAAUUAUAAGUUGGUUAAAAAUAAUGACUUAUUAUUAUUAAAUAAUAUUUUAUUUAACAAAUUUAUUAAGUUUGAUCAAAGAACAAUACAAUCAAUUUAAUCACCUAAGCGAUAUUAAUUUUAUUAAUUUUUUAUAUGGGGUGUUCGAGUUUAUACACUAUAAAUUGAUCAAAUAUUAUUUUAUCUAUCUCUUAAAAAAGAGAAAAAAAAUGGCUUCAAUUCUCAAGUUGUACCUUUGUUUAUAUUCCUUAGCCAUUCCUUUUUUUCUUUUUUGUUGCAUUAAAUGUUGAUGGUGAGCCAUUUUCUUCUUCAAAUUUCAUUGCAUGCAUAUGACUUGAAGUAGAUUGAAAUUGACUAUGAACAUGACUUAGAUUUGUAAAUGGCAUGACUUAGAUUUGUAAAUGGAAUGAGCAUAUUAACAUGGUUUAUGAACAUAGCUAUGACUUGGUGAAACAAGGCUAAGGUCAAGAUACAAUAGGCUUGAUUGUUUGGAUAGACAAGGCCAAGGCUAAGGUCAAGAUACAAUAGGCUUGAUUGUUUGGAUAGACAAGGCCAUGAAUGCACCAACAAUCCAUGGACAAAACAAAAUAUUGAGACCAAGAUUGAUUAGACUUAUAAGAAUAACAAAAAUAUAUUUUUUUUUGUUAGUUGAUAAGUAUCAUUAACUUUAUUAAAUAUUUUUUUUUUAUUUUGGAAAUUCAUAAUGUUGAAUAAAUUGUUAUAAGUUGAUAAGCAUAAAAUAAUUUCAAAAUUUUGCAAGUGACUUAUUAAAACAAUUCAAUUAGUAAAAACAAUAAAUUAUUAAAAUUAUUAAAAGAGGUUCUUUAGUAUAUUUAUAUUUCCACAACCACAACAAUAAAGUGUGUUAUUCAAAAUAACUUAUAUUUUGCUUUGUGAUCAAAAUUAAAAAUUAAUGUCAAAACUUUUGUUUUUCUUCUUCUCUUCAUUUCUCUCUAUAAUUAAUUUUAUUUCAUUAUUACAGUGUUUUCUUCUCUUCAUUUCUCUUUAUAAUUAAUUUUAUUUCAUUAUUAUAGUGUUGGGAGUCUUCCGUUUCAAAUAAUAAUAUUUUAACCUAAUUAUUUAUCAUGUCAAUAUAAAUUUUUUAUUUUAUUUGUCAUAUUCUCUUUACUACUUACACUAUCAAAUGAAUCAUUUUAUAUUUUAUUAAUUUGAGAUUUUAAAUAUUUAUUACAUUUUAAAUUUGAUUUUUAAUCAAUUUAGAAAUCUAGAUUUCAAACUUUUUUAUAAAUAUUUAGAAUUUAAAAUUGAUUUAAAAUAAAAUUUAACAUUGAUUAAAUCUAGAUUUCAUUCUUUUUUUAUAAAUAUUUAGAUUUUAAAAAUGAUUUAAAAUAAAAUUUAAAAUUGAUUAAAUCAAUAAAAUCUUAAAUUGAUUUUUAAAAUAAAAAACAAAUUUUGAAAUAGAUGAUAUUGGUUUAAAAUUAAAAUUAAAAUUUUAUUAAAACAAAACUAUUUCAAUUUUUUUUAAAAUAAAAUAUAUCAAAUUUCAUAUUAAUUUAAAAUAAAAAUAGAAUUUCAAAUUUCCGUUAGGAAAAUAUUUUUUUGUAAAGAUGAUUCAAAACGUAACUUUGUCUCAUAUUUAGAGAGACUUCAACUUAGCGUUGUUAGACAAAUGGACGUGGAAACUAAUAAGCGAAACGAAGAAGUGACGGCUUGGAAGCAAUUGAGAACCAUAUCAGUGUUUGAAUCCACUGUGUGCGACUGUUAAAUAGGAGAAACGCUUCAAAAGUAAAAUGAAAAUGAAAAAGAAAAACAAAAAAUGUUGCAGUACUAAAGGGCCUGAAAGAUCAGAUUGAAAUCAAAAUCAGACGAGUGAGCCUGCAUCGAAAUUGAUAUUCGCAAGUAUAUAAAUAUAAUUGAUUGAACCGUAGAAUCAACAGAGUUCAAUCAAGAAGCUGACUUGCGAUUCAAAUGAAAAAUUUUGUGAAAUUUCAGAAAGAAAGAAAGAAAAAUAUGAGAAAAUAAUCAAUCAUAGAAGAAUGCGUAUAUAGAUGCUAUAUCAAUGAAAAUUGAAUUAAAAACUUCGAAAUUAAAAACAGAAAAAAUAAAAGGAACACGAGAUUGGUAUUUUCAGAGAGAAUAGCAUGUGGUGCUUAUAAAGGGAAUGAAGGAAGCCGUUAGGGUUUUUGUUCACACAAUCUGUGUAACCAGAGAUAUGGAUCGGGUCUUCCUGGAUCUACUAGGUAAUUAACCCAGGCCCAUUUUUUAGCCCAAUUUUGUUUUAGGAAAAUUGUGUUUUAAACUAUUUUCAAAAGUGGACAUUCA
rnacentral:lncRNA from 1 species